UACUCCAAAACUUAGCUGCUUAAACAACAAACACGUGGAGUUCUCUUGUGGUGCAGUGGGUUAAGGAUCUAUUAUUAUCACUGUGGAUGCUCAGAUCACUGCUGCGGAGAGGGUUUGAUCCCUGGCAGGAACUUCCACAUGUUGUGAGAGUGGCCAAACAAUACAAAUAAAAUAAAUAAACCCAAAUAUUUAUUACCUCCCAGUUUCUGUGUUAAGAAUCAUGGUAUGGCUUAGCUGAGUACUUCUGGCUCAAGGUCUCUUUUGGCAUUGCAGUCUAGCUGUCAGCCAGGGAUGCAGUUUCAUCUUAAGAUUCAAGUGAAGUAAGAUCCGCAUCCAAGUUCAUUAUGUGGUUGCUGGACUCUCUCCAUGGAGUGGAUUCAGGAUGUGACAGCUUUCUCCCUGAGCAAGCAAUGCAAGAAAGAGCACCACAGAUGGAAGCCUCAGCCUCUUCAUAAACUCAUCUCAGACAUGACAUCCUAUUGCUUCAUUCAUAUUUCGUUUGCUAGAAAUGAGUCGGUAAGUCCAGCCUACUCUCAAAAGGAGAGGACUACACAAAGGCAUUGCAAAUUUAGGGGUCCCUAAGGCCACCCUCAGGUUUGAUAAUUUGCUAAGUCUCAUAAAAAUCACUGAAAGUUGGGAGUUCCCAUCGUGGCGCAGUGGUUAAUGAAGCCGACUAGGAACCAUGAGGUUGUGGGUUCGGUCCCUGCCCUUGCUCAGUGGGUUAAGGAUCUGGCGUUGCCAUGAGCUGUGGUGUAGGUCUCAGACGCAGCUCGGAUCCCGAGUUGCUGUGGCUCUGGCGUAGGCCAGUGGCUACAGCUCCGAUUCGACCCCUGGCCUGGGAACCGCCAUAUGCUGCAGGAGUGGCCCAAGAAAUGGCAAAAAGACAAAAAACAAACAAAUAAAAAAAAAAACCACUAAAAGUUGUUAUGUUCAUGGUUGCGGUUUAUUACAAUGAAAACACAGAGAUCAAAAGCAGCCAAGGGGAGAGGCACGUAAGGCAGUGUCCAGGAGAGUUGUAAGGGCAGAGCAUCUGAUCGAUCAUCUCCACACACAGAUAGCGUGUGCAGAUAGCACUUACUUCUCAGAGCAAAGAUGUGUGACAGUACACAUGGAACACUGCCAGCUGGGGCAGCUUCCCCCAGCCUUGGUGUCCAGAAUUUGCACUGAGGUUUAGUCAUGGAGAUAUGAUUGACUGCUUGCCUGGCUGGCCUCAGGCUCCAGCCCCUCUGGAGGUUGAGCUGUUACUGUGCCGCCCAGAGCCACCACCAUCCAUCACAUUGUUAGCACAGACUAUCUGGCAUGGCCCUAUGCCCCCAGGUAAACAAGAUACUCUUAUCAGGAAGAAUACUCCAAGGGCAUAGAAAUGAGCUUCCAGGAACUGAGGGCCAAGACCUCUUUAGAAAAAGGUGGAUCCUUCACUGUAGAGGCGGGUAAGGGAGAUAAGGAUCACUGGGAACCUCCUGGAGCCUGCCCGCCACACCCCAAAUUCACAAAACUUCCCCAGGCUGGGUUCCUGUCAGUUUUUAAGUGGCUUGAUACAUGUAAUUGGAUUACCACCAUUUAGGAAAAGUCUCCAGUAUAAGAGAGAGGCCUAAAUGGAGAGGAAAGAAGGAAACAGACUAUUUAGGGAGUAAACUAAGCUCUAAAACCAACCGAGACAAAACAAACCCUGCAAUAUUACCAGGGAGAGGAAAUAUUGCAUCCACAGGACAACACAGGAAAAUGUGGCAAAGAGAACAAGGAAGAGCAUCCGAAGGUUAAAACAUGGUAGAUGAGGUUUUGUUGUUGGUUUUUUUGCCACACCUGUAGCAUGUGGAAUUUCCUGGGCCAGGGAUUGAACCCUAUUGCAGUUUCGGCAACACCAGAUCCUUAAUUAACCCACUGUGCCACAAGGGAACUUCUAAAGCUUUUUAAUCAUUAUAAUUGUGGGAGAUUGAGGAGGGGAAAUAGGUGUGUUUUUGUGUGUGCAUUGAAGGCAGUGGAAUGUAGUUUAGCUAAAAGUCCUCAUUGUCCAAAAUCAAUAGUAAAUGAGGAAUGAAUUAGAAAUUUGUAGGGCUAGAAACACGAUUUGAGGGGUUCUUUAAAAAAAGUAUACAAAAUUACAGGUUUGACGUUAAAAAAGGGCCUUGAAAAGGACCAGUUGAAAGUGAGACACUCUGAAACUUAAGCUGUAUUAGUUUCACAAUAAACCUCCCUCUGCGGUCAAUAGAAAGCAUCUAAAAUUGGAAAAUGAAGAAAUAAGAGUUGAAAAACUUUCCUUAGAAAAACAUGAUAAGUACCAAAAGAAAAACCUGAAAGAGUUGAAUAUUUGUGGUUGUGAGACUUGGCAUAGAGUGGGUUGGGGCAAGGAUUUACUAGCUUUUCUUUUUUUUUUAGGGCUGCACGCUCGGCUCGGCAUAUGGAAGUCUAGGGGUCAAAUCAGAGCCACAACUGCAGGCCUACACCACAGCAACAGCAACAGCAACAGCAACACCAGAUCCAAGCCUCAUGAGCGACACCAGGGAUCGAACCCAAAUCCUCAUGGAUACCAGUUGGGUUCUUAACCCGCUGAGCCACAAUGGGUACUCUGGGGAAUUACUAUUUUUUACAAUAAACCCUGGAUAUAAUAUGUGACUUUUUGCUCCAUUCAAGGCCCCUCUCCUGUUUGUUUAUUCAUUCAUUACCUUUUUUAAAAAAUUGCAGUUGAUUUACAGUGUUGAGUCAAUUUCUGCCAUACAGCAAAGUGACCCAGUCACACAUAUGUAGACAUUUUUUUCUAUUGCUGUCUUCCAUCGUGUUCUCUCCCAAGGGAUUUGAUGUAGUUCCCUGUGCUGUACAGCAGGACCUCGUUUCUUAUCCAUUCUAAAUGUACUAGUUUUGUGUCUACUAACCCCAAACUCCCAGUCCAUCCCACUUCCUCCCCGCCCCCCUUGGCAACCACCCAUCUCUUCUCUGUGUCUGUGAGUCUGUUUCUGUGUUGUAGAUAGGAUUCAUUUGUGCCAUAGUUUAGAUCCCACAUAUAAGUAAUAUCAGUGGUAUUUCUCUUUCUCUUUCUGACUUCACUUAGUAUGAGAAUCUCCUCUAGUUGCAUCCAUCUUGCCACAAACACCAUUAUUUUGUUCUUUUUUAUGACUGAGUAGUCAUUCAUUCCCUUUUACCUCCAUACCCCAGUACCAACUCCCCUUGUUUUUUUCUUUCUUUCUUUCUUUUUUUGUCUUUUGUCUUUUUAAGGCUGCAUCCAUGGUGUAUGGAGGUUCCCAAGCUAGGGGUCUAAUCAGAGCUACAGCUGCGGGCCUACGCCACAGGAAUACGGGAUCCAAGCCGUGUCUGUAACCUACACCACAGCUCACGGCAACGCCGGAUCCUUAACCCACUGAGCGAGGCCAGGGAUCGAACCGGAAACCUCAUGGUUCCUAGUCUGAUUCAUUUCCACUGAGCCACGAGGGGAACUCCCACCUUGUUUCUUAUAGUAAUGUUCUAAUGUGUUUAAUGCAUCUUUUGACCAAUAUGGUGAAAUAGGCUGCUGGCUCCUCCCCUUGAGAUUAACCUUGGGAAGACUAUGAGUUUCCAGGAACAAGCAACCCUAAGAACCCCCUGAGCAGAUAAAAGUUUGCUUGAACUAGUAUGUGUGUCGGGGGUGGUGAACUGAGGGGGCAGUGGUGGUGGUGGUUGCAUCCUGGGACAGAAUGUUGCCUUGGCUAUGAGAGGGCAACUUGGAGAAAAACAGUUUACACUCCUCUUGCCUGUCCAUCCCCUUGGCGUUGGGACAGUCAUUGCUAGACUACUGGAGAAAUCUUUACUGUCCAGGACUUCUGGUCCAGAGAUCAAUUUAUGACAGUACGAAAACCCUGCUGGAGUGAAGAGUUAGGAAAAAGUGGAUGGGCCGGCCAUGCGCACGACUCCUAUUAGCCUCCAGCCACCAUGGCUGGUGGAUGACAAUCCUGAGAGUGCUUCCUCCCAGUGAUUCUUCUCCCAGAAGGUUUGACAGUAAAGUCCAAACGCUGGAUUGCUGCUUAGAACAAGGAGAUGUGGUGUGAUUUGCUGGUUUGCUAGUGCCUUGGGCUCCCCAUCCUAGCAGUUUCUCUGGGUUGACAAAGACCGUGGUCUGGCUUCCCAGCCUUUUCCAACAGGCAGUGGCAAAGAGACUGGCCAUCACACGCAGGGAAAUAUGUACUCACAGAUCAAAACAGAGUAGAACUGAGCCGAAAGGAAGAAAAAGUAGGGGAGGAAACCACAUCUGUCAAGGGAAGCAGAGGAACUAGAACAGAUGAUAAGUACUUUAAAUUAAUAUUUAAAAAAGUGCAUCUUCAUAUUUUAUAUUUGUUCUAACAAGUGUGUAUACCUUUUUAGUAUGAGGGGUUUUUUUGUUUGUCUAUCUUUUUAGGGCUGCACCUGCAGCAUAUGGCUGUUCCCAGGCUGGGGAUUGAAUCAGAGCUACAGCAGCCAGCCUACACCACAGCCACAGCAACGUAGGAUCCGAGCCGCGUCAGUGACCAACACCACAGCUCACUGCAGGACUGGAUCCUUAACGCACUGAGCAAGGCCAGGGAUCGAACCUGCAUCCUUAUGGAUCCUAGUCAGGUUCAUUAACUUCUGAGUCACUACGGGAAUUCCUAGUAUGAGUUAUUUUUAAUUAACAAAGAUGGAAAAUUAUGUUUUAUAAUACCUCUCAUUCCAUUUUUUUAUAGUAAAAAAAAAACAGUAAAAUUUACUAUCUCCACUUUAAAAUAUACAGUAUCAUUCUUUUUCUUACUAUUUUUACUUACUAUUUUGAGAACCGUCUGUGCAGCCAGCUUUAAACCUAGUCUGCUGCUAUCAACUUAUGCACCGAUCUCCAUGGUGAGUGUCUCCCAGCCAGGGACAUGAGGGCAGCCUCUAGUUACUCACAGUUAAAUAACACUGUAGUGAAUAGUCUUGAUUAUUUCCUUGCAUGGGCCCAUUGGAGAAUUUGAGAGAUAUACCCACGAGGGAAUUUGCUGGAUAUAGAGGGUGGGUAAUUUGACUGUUUGAGCAAACGUGCUCUCCAGGAGGGUGCACCAGGCCACACUCCCCACCAGCAGGGUAUGGAGGUUCCCAGUUAUUUUUGUUCCAAAUAUCUCUGAUUAUCAAUGAAUCUGAACAUCAUGUGAUUUGCAGCUUUUUUGGUUUCCUCUUUGCUAAAUUAUCUGUUCAUAUCCUUUGUUCAUUCUUCUUUUGCAGUUGCUGAUUUUGUUCCCUGUUGAUUUAUCAGAAUUACCUGUAUUCUAGAUAUUAAUUAAUCCCUUAUUGAAUUCUCGUGUGUGUGUGUGUGUGUGUGUGUGUGUGUGUGUGUGUGUGUGUGUUUUAGGGCCACACUCAAGGCAUAUGGAGGUUCCCAGGCUAGGGGUCAAAUGGGAGCUGCCAAGCUACACCACAUCCAUAGCAACACAGGAUCCAUGUCUGCAACCUACACUACAGCUCACAGCAAGGCUGGAUCCUUAACCCACUGAGCAAGGCCAGGGAUUGAAACUGUGUCCUCAUGGAUACUAUUCAUAUUCAUUUCCUCUGAGCCUUGACAGAAACUCCCCCUUAUUGCAUUUAGAUUGCAAUUAUCUCAUUCAUUCAUUUGUUAAACUUCGUGGUGGGUUUCUUUGAACAAAAUAUUAAAAAUAUAUAUAUUUGGAAACAAUUUGGAGCUUAUGGGAAAAUAUAUUUCAAGAUAUAUAGCAAUAGAGACCUUUCAUUUGAGCAUAUCUUUCUGACUUGAUGCCCAUCUGUCUUUUAUAGUUUGGUGUGUGAUUUCCUAUAAACAAGGUGUUCUCGUAUAUAAUUACAUCACGGUCCUCAAAAUCAGGAAAUUAACACUGUAUACACUUCAGAUCCCUUUCAAGUUUCAAUAGUUGUCUCAAUAAUAUACUUUAUAACAGAAUAAUCCAAUCAAUGGCAUAUAUUGCUAAUAGAAGGAAAUUUCCUCAACCUAAUAAAGGACAUUUAUAGCAAUCUGAGAUCUAGCAUCAUACUCAGUGGUAAAAGACUGAAAGCUUUUCCCUCUAAGAUCAGGAACAAGACAAGGAAUCUCUUUUUGUUGCUUCCAUUCAACCUUGUACUAGAAGUUCCAGCCAGAGAAAUUAGGCAAGAAGAAGAAAUAAAAGGCAUCAAUAUUGGAAGGAAAAUACAAAAAAUAACAAAAAAGAAAAAAUAUUAGAAAGAAGUAAAACUAUUCCUGUUUGCAGAUGACAUGAUCUUAUAUACAGAAAAUCCUAAAAUAUCCACCAAAAAACUAUUAAAGCUAAGAAACAGGAGUUCCCGUCGUGGUGCAAUGGUUAAGGAAUCCGACUAGGAAACAUGAGGUUGCGGGUUCGGUCCCUGGCCUUGCUCAGUGGGUUAAGGAUCCGGCGUUGCCGUGAGCUGUGGUGUAGGUUGCAGACGCGGCUCGGAUCCCACAUUGGUGUGGCUCUGGCGUAGGCCGGUGGCUACAGCUCCGAUUGGACCCCUAGCCUGGGAACCUCCAUAUGCCGCGGGAGCGGCCCAAGAAAAUGGCAAAAA
rnacentral:lncRNA from 1 species